ensembl:lncRNA
AGGUGUGUGGUGGGGUGUGGAGGUGGUGUAGUGGUGUGUGGAGGUGUGUGGUGGGGUGUGGAGGUGUGUGGUGGGGUGUGGAGGUGGUGUAGGGGUGUGUGGAGGUGUGUAGUGGUGUGCUGAGGUGGUGUAGUGGUGUGUGGAGGUGGUGUAGUGGUGUGUGGAGGUGGUGUAGUGGUGUGUGGUGGUGUGUGGAGGCGUGUGGAGGUGGUGUAGUGGGGUGUGGAGGUGGUGUAGUGGGGUGUGGAGGUGUGUGGAGGUGUGUGGAGGUGGUGUAGUGGGGUGUGGAGGUGGUGUAGUGGUGUGUGGAGGUGUGUAGUGGUGUGUGGAGGUGGUGUAGUGGGGUGUGGAGGUGGUGUAGUGGUGUGUGGAGGUGUGUGGUGGGGUGUGGAGGUGGUGUAGUGGUGUGUGGAGGUGUGUAGUGGUGUGUGGAGGUGGUGUAGUGGGGUGUGGAGGUGUUGUAGUGGUGUGUGGAGGUGGUGUAGUGGGGUGUGGAGGCGUGUGGAGGUGUUGUAGUGGUGUGUGGAGGCGUGUGGAGGUGGUGUAGUGGUGUGUGGAGGUGGUGUAGUGGUGUGUGGAGGUGUGUAGUGGUGUGUGGAGGUGGUGUAGUGUGGAGGUGGUGUGUGGAGGUGUGUAGUGGUGUGUGGAGGUGGUGUAGUGGUGUGUGGAGGUGUGUGGUGGGGUGUGGUGGUGUAGUGGGGUGUGGGUGUGGAGGGAUAAGAUGAGAUGAGUUCUGUUCUGAUGAGAUGAGAUCUGUUCAGAUGAGAUGAAAUGAGUGGGGAGCGGACAGAUGCAUCUCCUGCAGGGACAUCUCUCUGGAAAAAAUAAAUCAAUUGGCAAAUGUUACACAAACAACUCAGCAAUCCAGCAAAAAAAAUAAAGACAUUGUAAAAUAACCAAACACAAUAUGCAACUAAAAACAAGAAAGAUGCAGACAUAGAGAGUACACAACAGGAGAAAUAUAACAUGCCAUACAUACCAAAAUGUAUGCUAAUAGUAUUAUGCGUGUGUGAACGAAUACAUGCAGAUAUGUAUAGUUUACAUCAGGACACAACACAGCAAAAAUAGCAUGUAGCUAACGUUAGCGAACUUGCUAGCAGGCUUGCUAAUUUGUCAGACAAAUACAUAGGCAAGCCAAUAAUUUGGAAACGUACAAAAAUGCAUACCAAUAGUAUUAUGCGUGUGUGAAACCAUCCAUACAGAUAUGUAUUUACAUAGUUUACAUUACGAGCACACAACACAGCAAAAAUACCAUGUAGCUAACUUUAGCGAGCAUGCUAGCAGGCUGGCUAAUUUGCCAGACAAAUACAUAGGCAAGCCAAUAUUGUGAGAACAAACCAAAGUGCAUACUAAUAGUAUUAUGCGUGUCUGAAAACAUAAAUGCAGAUAUAGAUACUUACAUGUCAUGUCUAGGACACAAUCCAGCUGUUCCAAUUGUGUCCAUGGGCAAACUCCACGUGUUGUGUUGAAUUCGCAA